UGAGACUUUAAGUUAAAAAAACUAUUAAUUUUCAAAAUUAAAAAUAAAUUUAUAAAUUAAGUCUCAA
rnacentral:tRNA from 1 species